GGAGAGGUGGCCGAGUGGUUUAAGGCGCACGCCUGGAACGCGUGUAUAGUAGCAAUACUAUCGAGGGUUCGAAUCCCUCUCUCUCCGCCA
rnacentral:tRNA from 3 species